rnacentral:rRNA from 1 species
CUACGGGGGGCAGCAGUGGGGAAUAUUGCACAGUGGGCGCAAGCCUGAUGCAGCCAUGCCGCGUGUAUGAAGAAGGCCUUCGGGUUGUAAAGUACUUUCAGCGGGGAGGAAGGGAGUAAAGUUAAUACCUUUGCUCAUUGACGUUACCCGCAGAAGAAGCACCGGCUAACUCCGUGCCAGCAGCCGCGGUAAUACGGAGGGUGCAAGCGUUAAUCGGAAUUACUGGGCGUAAAGCGCACGCAGGCGGUUUGUUAAGUCAGAUGUGAAAUCCCCGGGCUCAACCUGGGAACUGCAUCUGAACUGGCAAGCUUGAGUCUCGUAGAGGGGGGUAGAAUUCCAGGUGUAGCGGUGAAAUGCGUAGAGAUCUGGAGGAAUACCGGUGGCGAAGGCGGCCCCCUGGACGAAGACUGACGCUCAGGUGCGAAAGCGUGGGGAGCAAACAGGAUUAGAUACCCCUGUAGUC